CUACUAGGGUUUCUAAUCCUGUUCGCUCCCCACGCUUUCGUGCCUCAGCGUCAAUUCCUGUCCAGCCACCCGCCUACGCCUCUGGUAUUCCUCGUGAUAUCUACGCAUUUCACCGCUACACCACGAAUUCUAGUGGCCCCUCCAGGAUUCAAGACCCGCAGUAUCAAAGGCAGUCCGACGGUUGAGCCGCCGGCUUUCACCCCUGACUUGCGGGCCCGCCUACACACCCUUUACACCCAAUGAUUCCGGACAACGCUUGCACCCUCCGUAUUACCGCGGCUGCUGGCAC
rnacentral:rRNA from 1 species